rnacentral:rRNA from 1 species
UGGGGAAUUUUGGACAAUGGGCGAAAGCCUGAUCCAGCCAUGCCGCGUGUCUGAAGAAGGCCUUCGGGUUGUAAAGGACUUUUGUCAGGGAGGAAAUCCCUAGCGUUAAUACCGCUGGGGGAUGACAGUACCUGAAGAAUAAGCACCGGCUAACUACGUGCCAGCAGCCGCGGUAAUACGUAGGGUGCGAGCGUUAAUCGGAAUUACUGGGCGUAAAGCGUGCGCAGGCGGUUUGAUAAGCCAGAUGUGAAAUCCCCGAGCUCAACUUGGGAACUGCGUUUGGAACUGUCAGACUAGAGUGCGUCAGAGGGGGGUGGAAUUCCGCGUGUAGCAGUGAAAUGCGUAGAGAUGCGGAGGAACACCGAUGGCGAAGGCAGCCCCCUGGGAUGACACUGACGCUCAUGCACGAAAGCGUGGGGAGCAAACAGGAUUAGAUACCCUGGUAGUCCACGCCCUAAACGAUGUCAAUUAGCUGUUGGGGGUUAGAAUCCCUGGUAGCGUAGCUAACGCGUGAAANNGNCCGCCUGGGGAGUACGGCCGCAAGGUUA